rnacentral:lncRNA from 1 species
UCAACCCUACAUGCCUUAAACUUACCUCAUAUCUUCUUUUAGAUCAAACUCAACCUUACACAUCACCCCAAACCAUUCGGCCGCCACCCUCCUUUUUGCGCCACAAUCCCUCACCCCCUACAGCUUCUGGUCGCCCAUACCCCUCCUCUGGUACACCCUCAUAGCCACCCUUGGUCACCAUUCUAAACACACCUCACCUCUAUUCACGUCCGCAAUGCACCAAGACUCGCCGGAGACACGAAGACGCCGCCGCCGGGCUCUUUGACUCGUUACGUUGCAAACGGAACGCCACCCGGAUCACGUGGAACUCACCGGAGCAUCCCGAAGUCAUCGGAAACUAACCCGGAACUCGCCUUAUCACCUAUAGUUGAAAUCUCCAUAUGCGACCACUGUUGAUGAUGACGAUGCUAUAAAAAGAAGUAGCGUUGAUGCCUAG